rnacentral:rRNA from 1 species
AGUGAACGCUGGCGGUAGGCCUAACACAUGCAAGUCGAACGGCAGCACAGGAGAGCUUGCUCUCUGGGUGGCGAGUGGCGGACGGGUGAGGAAUACAUCGGAAUCUGCCCAGUCGUGGGGGAUAACGUAGGGAAACUUACGCUAAUACCGCAUACGACCUUCGGGUGAAAGAGGGGGAUCGCAAGACCUCUCGCGAUUGGAUGCGCCGAUGUCGGAUUAGCUAGUUGGCGGGGUAAUGGCCCCCCAAGGCGACGAUCCGUAGCUGGUCUGAGAGGAUGAUCAGCCACACUGGAACUGAGACACGGUCCAGACUCCUACGGGAGGCAGCAGUGGGGAAUAUUGGACAAUGGGCGCAAGCCUGAUCCAGCCAUACCGCGUGGGUGAAGAAGGCCUUCGGGUUGUAAAGCCCUUUUGUUGGGAAAGAAAUCUUUCAGGCUAAUACCCUGGGAGGAUGACGGUACCCAAAGAAUAAGCACCGGCUAACUUCGUG